rnacentral:rRNA from 1 species
UGGGGGAUAUUGCACAAUGGAGGAAACUCUGAUGCAGCGACGCCGCGUGAGUGAAGAAGUAUUUCGGUAUGUAAAGCUCUAUCAGCAGGGAAGAUAAUGACAGUACCUGACUAAGAAGCCCCGGCUAACUACGUGCCAGCAGCCGCGGUAAUACGUAGGGGGCAAGCGUUAUCCGGAUUUACUGGGUGUAAAGGGAGCGUAGACGGAAUGGCAAGUCUGAAGUGAAAUCCUGCGGCUUAACUGCAGAAUUGCUUUGGAAACUGUCAAUCUGGAGUGUUGGAGAGGUAAGCGGAAUUCCUGGUGUAGCGGUGAAAUGCGUAGAUAUCAGGAAGAACACCGGAGGCGAAGGCGGCUUACUGGACAAUAACUGACGUUGAGGCUCGAAAGCGUGGGAAGCAAA